UACGAAGGGGGCUAGCGUUGCUCGGAAUCACUGGGCGUAAAGCGCGUGUAGGCGGCCAAGUAAGUGGGAUGUGAAAUCCCCCGGCUUACCCGGGGACCUGCAUCUCAUACUGCUUGGCUUGAGUAUGGGAGAGGAUGAGGGAAUUCCUGGUGUAGCGGUGAAAUGCGUAGAUAUCAGGAGGAACACCGAUGGCGAAGGCAGGUCUCUGGGCCUUACCUGACGCUGAGGAGCGAAAGCGUGGGGAGCGAACAGG
rnacentral:rRNA from 1 species